GCUUCUAUUUUCUCGAGCAACUCUAUACUACUGUAUGUAGUAUUGUAUGUUUACAGGUACAGCUGUCGCUUCGUAUACAGAAAAAAUUUCUUUGUAUACGGCGGAUUUGUCGGCGUGCCCGGGGAACGAGACAUCCAGGGCGUGACAAAAUAUAUAUAAAAAAUAAAUUUAUAAAAUUUUAUCCAUUAGACUUUGAUCUAAUAGUUGAAACUUUACAUAUAAAUGAGUCUUUUUAUAAUUAAACUCGCAUUUAUAUUUUUAUUUUACUAAAAAUUAGAUAAUAAAAAUAUAUAUUAUAUAUAAUUAUUUAUUUAUAUAUAAAAAUAUAAAUUAAAUAAAUUAUAUAAAUAUAAAAUAUAUGUAUUUGAGCUGUUAUC
rnacentral:lncRNA from 1 species